GUGGGGAAUAUUGGGCAAUGGGCGCAAGCCUGACCCAGCAACGCCGCGUGAAGGAAGAAGGCUUUCGGGUUGUAAACUUCUUUGACAGGGGACGAAACAAAUGACGGUACCCUGAAAACAAGCCACGGCUAACUACGUGCCAGCAGCCGCGGUAAUACGUAGGUGGCAAGCGUUAUCCGGAUUUACUGGGUGUAAAGGGAGUGUAGGCGGGAUUACAAGUCAGAUGUGAAAACUAUGGGCUCAACCCAUAGCCUGCAUUUGAAACUGUAGUUCUUGAGUGAUGGAGAGGCAGACGGAAUUCCUCGUGUAGCGGUGAAAUGCGUAGAUAUGAGGAGGAACACCAGUGGCGAAGGCGGUCUGCUGGACAUUAACUGACGCUGAGGCGCGAAAGCGUGGGGAGCAAACAGGAUUAGAAACCCGAGUAGUCC
rnacentral:rRNA from 1 species